GACGUAGGUGGCGAACGUUAUCCGGAAUUAUUGGGCGUAAAGGGUGCGUAGAUGGCCUGAUAAGUUAGCAGUGGGAAAUCGAGGCCCAACCUCGUGGAAGCUGGUAAUACUGUCAGGCUCGAGUGCAGGAGAGGUUAACGGAACUCCAUGUGGAGCGGUAAAAUGUGUAGAUAUAUGGAAGAACAUCAAUAACGGCGAAGGCAGUUAACUAUUCUGUUACUGACGUUGAGGCACGGAAGCGUGGGGAGCAAAACGG
rnacentral:rRNA from 1 species